rnacentral:misc_RNA from 1 species
AAGUAUUUUGUCUCAUAAACAGAACUUUUUAAAGUGUUUGCAAGGUAAAACAAAUUAAGAAACAUGAGUUCAGUAAGUAACACACAUCAUACUUUUCAACAUCAUCUUGUUUCAGACUUGAACUACUCACAUUGUUAAUGACCACUGAAAUUUCACUUGUUAUCAAAAGCUUUGGGAACAGGUGAGAAAACCACAAUUAUGUAAGCAAACAAAUGGAAGCGUAGAGUAAAGAAGCAAACAAAUGGAAGCGUAGAGUAAAGAAGCAAACAAAUGGAAGCGUAGAGUAAAG